AUACGAAGGGUGCAAGCGUUAAUCGGAAUUACUGGGCGUAAAGCGCGCGUAGGUGGUUCGUUAAGUUGGAUGUGAAAGCCCCGGGCUCAACCUGGGAACUGCAUCCAAAACUGGCGAGCUAGAGUAUGGCAGAGGGUGGUGGAAUUUCCUGUGUAGCGGUGAAAUGCGUAGAUAUAGGAAGGAACACCAGUGGCGAAGGCGGCACCCUGGGCUAAUACUGACACUGAGGUGGAAAAGCGUGGGGAGCAAACAGGAUAAGAUCCCCUGUUAGUCCACGCCGUAAACGAUGUCGACUAGCCGUUGGGAUCCUUGAGAUCUUAGUGGCGCAGCUAACGCAUUAAGUCGACCGCCUGGGGAGUACGGCCGCAAGGUUAAAACUCAAAUGAAUUGGCGGGG
rnacentral:rRNA from 1 species